rnacentral:rRNA from 1 species
AUUGAACGCUGGCGGCAUGCCUUACACAUGCAAGUCGAACGGUAACAGGUUAAGCUGACGAGUGGCGAACGGGUGAGUAAUGUAUCGGAACGUGCCCAGUCGUGGGGGAUAACUGCUCGAAAGAGCAGCUAAUACCGCAUACGACCUGAGGGAGAAAGCGGGGGAUCGCAAGACCUCGCGCAAUUGGAGAGGCCGAUAUCAGAUUAGGUAGUUGGUGAGGUAAAGGCUCACCAAGCCGACGAGCUGUAGCUGGUCUGAGAGGACGACCAGCCACACUGGGACUGAGACACGGCCCAGACUCCUACGGGAGGCAGCAGUGGGGAAUUUUGGACAAAGGGCGCAAGCCUGAUCCAGCCAUGCCGCGUGCGGGAAGAAGGCCUUCGGGUUGUAAACCGCUUUUGUCAGGGAAGAAAAGGUUCUGGCUAAUACCUGGGACUCGUGACGGUACCUGAAGAAUAAGCACCGGCUAACUACGUG